UACGAAGGGGGCUAGCGUUGUUCGGAAUCACUGGGCGUAAAGCGCGCGUAGGCGGACUGUCAAGUCAGGGGUGAAAUCCCAGGGCUCAACCCUGGAAUUGCCUUUGAAACUGUCAGUCUGGAGUCUUGGAGGGGGUGGCGGAAUUCCUAGUGUAGAGGUGAAAUUCGUAGAUACUAGGAGGAACACCGGCGGCGAAGGCGGCCACCUGGACAAGUACUGACGCUGAGGCGCGAAAGCGUGGGGAGCAAACAGG
rnacentral:misc_RNA from 1 species